rnacentral:rRNA from 1 species
UAGCAGAGAUGCUUUGGUGCCUUCGGGAACUCUGAGACAGGUGCUGCAUGGCUGUCGUCAGCUCGUGUUGUGAAAUGUUGGGUUAAGUCCCGCAACGAGCGCAACCCUUAUCCUUUGUUGCCAGCGAUUAGGUCGGGAACUCAAAGGAGACUGCCAGUGAUAAACUGGAGGAAGGUGGGGAUGACGUCAAGUCAUCAUGGCCCUUACGAGUAGGGCUACACACGUGCUACAAUGGCAUAUACAAAGAGAAGCGACCUCGCGAGAGCAAGCGGACCUCAUAAAGUAUGUCGUAGUCCGGAUUGGAGUCUGCAACUCGACUCCAUGAAGUCGGAAUCGCUAGUAAUCGUGGAUCAGAAUGCCACGGUGAAUA